AGUCGAACGAUGAAGCCCUUCGGGGUGGAUUAGUGGCGAACGGGUGAGUAACACGUGGGCAAUCUGCCCUUCACUCUGGGACAAGCCCUGGAAACGGGGUCUAAUACCGGAUAAUACCUGCCUGGGCAUCUGGGUGGGUUAAAAGCUCCGGCGGUGAAGGAUGAGCCCGCGGCCUAUCAGCUUGUUGGUGAGGUAGUGGCUCACCAAGGCGACGACGGGUAGCCGGCCUGAGAGGGCGACCGGCCACACUGGGACUGAGACACGGCCCAGACUCCUACGGGAGGCAGCAGUGGGGAAUAUUGCACAAUGGGCGAAAGCCUGAUGCAGCGACGCCGCGUGAGGGAUGACGGCCUUCGGGUUGUAAACCUCUUUCAGCAGGGAAGAAGCGAAAGUGACGGUACCUGCAGAAGAAGCGCCGGCUAACUACGUGCCAGCAGCCGCGGUAAUACGUAGGGCGCAAGCGUUGUCCGGAAUUAUUGGGCGUAAAGAGCUCGUAGGCGGCUUGUCACGUCGGUUGUGAAAGCCCGGGGCUUAACCCCGGGUCUGCAGUCGAUACGGGCAGGCUAGAGUGUGGUAGGGGAGAUCGGAAUUCCUGGUGUAACGGUGAAAUGCGCAGAUAUCAGGAGGAACACCGGUGGCGAAGGCGGAUCUCUGGGCCAUUACUGACGCUGAGGAGCGAAAGCGUGGGGAGCGAACAGGAUUAGAUACCCUGGUAGUCCACGCCGUAAACGGUGGGAACUAGGUGUUGGCGACAUUCCACGUCGUCGGUGCCGCAGCUAACGCAUUAAGUUCCCCGCCUGGGGAGUACGGCCGCAAGGCUAAAACUCAAAGGAAUUGACGGGGGCCCGCACAAGCAGCGGAGCAUGUGGCUUAAUUCGACGCAACGCGAAGAACCUUACCAAGGCUUGACAUCGCCCGGAAAGCAUCAGAGAUGGUGCCCCCCUUGUGGUCGGGUGACAGGUGGUGCAUGGCUGUCGUCAGCUCGUGUCGUGAGAUGUUGGGUUAAGUCCCGCAACGAGCGCAACCCUUGUUCUGUGUUGCCAGCAUGCCCUUCGGGGUGAUGGGGACUCACAGGAGACUGCCGGGGUCAACUCGGAGGAAGGUGGGGACGACGUCAAGUCAUCAUGCCCCUUAUGUCUUGGGCUGCACACGUGCUACAAUGGCAGGUACAAUGAGCUGCGAUGCCGCGAGGCGGAGCGAAUCUCAAAAAGCCUGUCUCAGUUCGGAUUGGGGUCUGCAACUCGACCCCAUGAAGUCGGAGUUGCUAGUAAUCGCAGAUCAGCAUUGCUGCGGUGAAUACGUUCCCGGGCCUUGUACACACCGCCCGUCACGUCACGAAAGUCGGUAACACCCGAAGCCGGUGGCCCAACCCCCUUGUGGGGAGGGAGCUGUCGAAGGUGGGACUGGCGAUUG
rnacentral:rRNA from 1 species